rnacentral:misc_RNA from 1 species
CAAUUUUUUUAGCUGGAUACUUUGAAUCAUUGAUCAAAUAUUGUUGCAACACUUUUCCGAUGUUGAACGAGCUGAUUGUGUGGGAGCACAAACAUUGCGUGGAAAUAUUUCCACAUUUUCUCUCCAUCUCUUUCCAUUUCCCGAGAUAUCUCGUCCGAAUUUUCCAGCUGAGACUUUAGCCAGUAGUCUAGAUGUCUCCACAGUGGAAGGCAAUGGACGCAAUGCGUCGGGACGCUUUUGCGGACUAAAAUAUUAUAUACGAUUCUCUGUAAGUGUUUUGCAAGUGAUUUCCUCCUUUCCAAUUGAGUAGUUUUAGACCAACGUGCAAUAAUCUAAGGUAGACACUUAUAGCUAGGUUAGUGUGAAACGUUUCAGUGAAUAAUGGCAGUGGAAAUUUUCGACCAAGACCAUUUCGCUAUUAGCGCAAUAGUCACCGUAACAAUGCAAGUAGUGUUCUUCCUAAUUGUGGCAUUAUUCGACAUGGAUAAAGUGACCGACUUUGCUGGCGGAAUAAACUUUAUAGUUUUAGCCCUACUAACUUUUUUUCUGGGCCAAGGAGGAAACAAGAAAACCUACGACAGCAGGCAACUGAUGGUUACAACUUUUGUGUGUAUUUGGGGUCUUCGAUUAUCAGGAUAUUUAUUCUACAGGAUUAUCAAGAUUGGUAGAGAUAAACAGUUCGAAGACACGAAGAGUAACACUAUUCGGUUUGCGAUAUUUUGGACGUUUCAGGCAAUUUGGGUUUACGUCGUUAGUCUUCCAGUGAUAAUAAUCAACUCUCCAAGACAUUCAAUCCCUUUAGCUCCCAAAACCAUGACCACUUUGGAUUCAACUGGAACCUGCCUAUUUAUAAUCGGAUUUUUAGCGGAAACUUAUGCGGAUUUGCAGAAGUUUUCGUUUCGGCAAGAUCCCGUGAAUCAAGGCAAAUGGUGCAAUGAUGGUUUGUGGAGAUUAUCCAGACAUCCAAACUACUUUGGAGAAAUAGUGCUCUGGUGGGGAAUAUUCGUGAUAUCCUUAAACGUCCUUGAAGGAAUCGAAUGGGUGGCAAUCAUGUCCCCCAUAUUCACCAGUCUGAUAAUAUUGUUCCUAUCAGGGAUUCCCCUGCUAGAACGAUGCUCUGAUGAAAAGUAUCGCGACGAUACUGAUUAUCGUUACUACAAAUCCUCCACUUCACCACUAAUCCCCAUUCCGCCAGCGAUCUACGAGGAAGUGCCCCAGUUCUUAAAGUUUAUCAUUUGCUGUGAAUAUCCUCUAUACGACUCUUUGAAUGAGAAGUCCAAGACGAUGCACAUAAUCAAAGAAUCCACCAGCACCAACUUGGGACAGUCGGAAACAUAGCUGUAGCUGACGGUUGGCCAAGAUCUUCCUCAGAUCAGCGUCACCGAACCAAUCAACCGUUUCAAUUAUUUGGGCAACUUGUACGACUACAAAAGCCAAAAUCCACCCGACUACAUGGAUCAGGAGGAAGAUCAUUAUCAGGUGAAAGACUACGAAUUUAGAAACAUUAGCGUUGUGGUCAAGGAGGGCCAUUCGCAGCUGCAAGAUCAGGUUUCAGAGCUCUUAGUUCACUGGAUGGAAAUAUGACAAUAUACAUUCUUGGAAAGUUUGUACAUAUCAAAGACCCUGAUUGCAUUUUUCGGUAGCGGAAAUAUUCAAAUGCAUGCCCAACAUUGCUGUCUAUAGUUCUUCAUAACAGUAAUGUUCAUUAGGUGGUAUGUAUAAGUAUAGAUGGAUAUAAGCGCAAUUAUUACAUUCACACUGUUGAGAAA